rnacentral:rRNA from 1 species
AUUGAACGCUAGCGGGAUGCCUUACACAUGCAAGUCGAACGGAGUGGCGAACGGGUGAGUAAUGUAUCGGAACGUGCCCAGUCGCGGGGGAUACCUACGCGAAAGCGUAGCUAAUACCGCAUACUAUUUGAGCGGCCGCUAUCGGAUUAGCUAGUUGGUGGGGUACCGGAUCACCAAGGCGACGAGCCGUAGCGGGUUUGAGAGGACGACCAGCCACACUGGGACUGAGACACGGCCCAGACUCCUACGGGAGGCAGCAGUGGGGAAUUGUGGACAAUGUGGGAAACCCUUAUGCAGCCAUCCCGCGUGUGCGAUGAAGGCCUUCGGGUUGUAAAGCACUUUUGGCAGGAAAGCGGUACCUGCAGAAGAAGCACCGGCUAACUACGUGCCAGCCGCCGCGGUAAUAC